rnacentral:rRNA from 1 species
UAGUUGUUCGUGUCUUUAAGACGUGAGUAACGCAGCUAACGCACUAAGUUGACCGCCUGGGGAGUACGGCCGCAAGGUUAAAACUCAAAUGAAUUGACGGGGGCCCGCACAAGCGGUGGAGCAUGUGAUUUAAUUCGAUGCAACGCGAAGAACCUUACCAUCCCUUGACAUCCAGAGAAUUUUCUAGAGAUAGAUUAGUGCCUUCGGGAACUCUGAGACAGGUGCUGCAUGGCUGUCGUCAGCUCGUGUUGUGAGAUGUUGGGUUAAGUCCCGCAACGAGCGCAACCCUUAUCCUUAGUUGCCAGCACUAAGGUGGGAACUCUAGGGAGACUGCCGGUGNUAAACCGGAGGAAGGUGGGGACGACGUCAAGUCAUCAUGGCCCUUACGGGAUGGGCUACACACGUGCUACAAUGGCGCACACAAAGGGCAGCAAGCGCGCGAUUGCAAGCGAAUCUCAAAAAGUGCGUCGUAGUCCGGAUUGGAGUCUGCAACUCGACUCCAUGAAGUCGGAAUCGCUAGUAAUCGUGGAUCAGAAUGCCACGGUGAAUACGUUCCCGGGCCUUGUACACACCGCCCGUCACACCAUGGGAGUGGGCUGCACCAGAAGUAGAUAGCUUAACCUUCGGGAGGGCGUUUACCACGGUGUGGUUCAUGACUGGGGUG